UACGGAGGGGGCUAGCGUUGUUCGGAAUUACUGGGCGUAAAGCGCAUGUAGGCGGAUCCAUAAGUCGGGCGUGAAAUCCCCAGGCUCAACCUGGGAACUGCGCUCGAAACUGUGGGUCUUGAGUGUCGGAGAGGAUGGCGGAAUUCCUGGUGUAGAGGUGAAAUUCGUAGAUAUCAGGAGGAACACCGGUGGCGAAGGCGGCCAUCUGGACGACAACUGACGCUGAGAUGCGAAAGCGUGGGGAGCAAACAGG
rnacentral:rRNA from 1 species